rnacentral:lncRNA from 1 species
CCUUUGGUGAUACACUUGGGUGGACAGAGAGACAUGAUGACCAUGGUGGCUAUGAAGCAAUCCUGAUAGUAACUGACUUCCCCUGGGGCUGCCAACCCUGCUAUACACUGACCAGAUGCUAUUCAGUGGCUGCCUGGUGCCAAUCAAAGGCCAAAGGUGGGAUUAAGUUGUUAAGCUGUUCAGUACAGUGAUGGUAACUAAAGAUCCAGCAGAGUGGCUGAAUCAUCUCCAAGAAAAAUUCACAGGAGAGGAGGUGAACCCGCCUUCACCUCAGCCCCGGAUGAGGUGCGACUGUACAAAAACCCAGGGUCUCAUAUCCAAGUGCACAAGUAAAUCCAUUUUUUAACAAG